rnacentral:lncRNA from 1 species
GCCCUUAUAGUAAGUUGUUCCUAUUGCCUAUCAAAUCAAUCUAUUGGGGGUAGUUCUGAGUAAGCCCACAGAGUAAGCCCGAAGGAAGUUACUAGUGUUGAGUAAGCCCAGAAGAAGAAGGAAGCUAAGCUAUAAGUACUUCAGUAAAGAAUGCAACAGGAGCCUAGCCAGUAGUGGUAGAGAGGGUAGUUUAGAGUAGCGAGCAGGGCUCGUGAAGAAAGUAUGGUGAGAAGAGGUCGGGUCUCAUAAGAAAGAAAGAAGAUCACUUUAUUAGUUGACAGAGAAGAAUAUGGAUGGAUCUAGCACAUCUGGUAGAACAUUAAGAAUGAAACCAACUAGCUAAAGAGUGGAGCUAGUAAGGGUGUCUGGUCAGAAAGGGCAGUUUCAAGGGGAGUUUCAUCUGUCUGGGUGUUUGAAAGGGGAGUUGAACCCUUACUUAUUAAGGCUGCUUGCCCACUGGCUAUGUGUUUGUGGAGACAGAGGACAGGUCUAGUAUAGAGGUUCACUCAUAGGUCAGAGCCAAGACACCAAUAUUGGAAUCAAAUAAAAGAAAUUAUCAAAUUAGAAAAUAGGAAAAUAUGUGAAAAACUACUUCAAUUAGUUGGGCUCUGAUCACUACUAUUUCCCUCCUAAAUUCAGUAUAUCUCUAUAUAUAGGUGAACGGAUGCAACAAGAACUGAGGCAUUCUAUCUAUAGCACCCGGGUUUUGGUGAAGUGGAAUGAUCUGGUUCACUUACUUGCUUGUUAGGAUGGGUAUGCUAGUUGCCAGCUGCUGGGAUUGUUGACUUACUUGCUAGUUAGGGUCGGGUGCCAGAGGUAAGCUUCACUGAGAGGAUAGGUCAGCUUCACUUAGAGUUUAGGUCGGGUGUCAGGUAUUGUAUUAUAGAUGAUAGGCAGUUGCCUAGGAGCCUCAUUCAGUUAGAUGAGAGAAAAGAUCUUCAAGCAAGUAACCAUAAAGCAGGGAACAACCAUCAAGAUUAGAGGCAUAAAGAAACAAACAUAAUGUAUUAAUUGGUUGCUAUGCACGAGUGCUGUCUUCGGGGACUGAUGCCUAGUGGUAUUGAUUCUCUGAGGUACUACUAUGGGUAGCUAAGGUCUAAUAGCUAGUAAGUCCACCGAUGCUAGUGCUAGGUAGUAAGUAGUCACAGAAUAAGAAGGGAGCUACCUAAACUCGGACUGACACAAAGCAGACUCAGAGUGAAUCCAGGGAGUCCAAGAAUGCAACUAUUGGUGCUCAGCCUUAAAGCCAGUAGCUACAUUCCCACCGAUUGCCAGAUGUCCUAGUAGAACUAAGCCUAGGAAUACGGAAUUUCAGAAUGAACCUAAGCAGACUCGGAAUGGAUACCUAACAUGGGGUUUCAGAAUGCAACCAGUGCUAACAAGAAUGAAAGUAAUAGGUCAAAGAGUGGAGCUAGCAAGGCAUAGGAUGGAACGAGUGAGGGCAAGAAUGACACUAAGUAGGCUCAGAAUGCAACCCAUACCACUGAGACUUCAACCGGAGCUUCCAAGCCUGACAUCGGUGCUGGGCAGACUGUUGCUAUUGGUAUUGAUUCUCUGAUGAGCUAGUAUGGGUGUAUGUCGCUAAGGUCUCUAUUCCUCUUCUUACCUUUCCCACCGAUUCCCCGCAUCUAGUUAAAGAAUCAAACUAGCUACUAGCAACUACAGGAAUAAGACUAAAACCACUGCAUCCAAGGCUGAUACUACUCCUACUAAGAAUGGAGCUGACCAAUCCGAGGCUCCAAUCAGUGCUAACAAGAAUCAGCCUAGUGCAUCUAAGCCUGCAGCUGGGUAUACUCGGCCUUGCUCUUGGGUGUUACAGGCUAUCCGGUCCAGGUCACAGAACGAAACAAGGUAGUCCAAGGCUGAUACCGGUACCACUGAGACUUUCACCACUGCAUCUUAGACUUAAACGAGUGCUAGGCAGACUUGACCGAGGUAGUGAUAGAACCAAACCAGUGUCACUCAGGAUCAAACCAAUGCUAACCAGACUGAUGCUAUUAGUUACAGAAUGGAGCUCCCUAAGAUCAGACUCAACCAAGUGAGUUACAGACUGAGCCGAGUGAGUCACAGAAUGAGGCUAUUGGGUGUAAGCCUGAUACUGGGUAGUUACAGACUAAACCAAGGGCGAGCAAGACUUCAACCUAAACUUCCAAGCCAGCUACUGGUGCUGACAAGACUCCAACCAGUGCCACUGCCAGCAAGACUUAUGGUAGGUAGUUACAGGCUUCAACCCGAUAGUCAAAGAACCAAACCAGUGUCACUCAGGAUCAACCCGGUAGCUAAGGUCUCUACCCAGUGAGACAGAGGCCAAGCACUAACAACAAGGCUUCACCUACUAACUAGCAGAAUCAAACUCACACCGAGCAGACUGAUGCGGUGCCUACUAUUCCCUUACUUGCCCACCGAUUCCCUGAGUAUUCAUUAAGUGGGGCUAUUUGCGGUAAGCUAAUCUAUGGUAUGUACUAGAUUCAGAAUCAAACUCAGUAGACUCAGACUGUGCCCCAGCAGUGAAAGAAUCAAACUCACUAGCUACAUUAUUGAACCGGGGAGUCCAAGAAUAAGAAAGGUAUCGGUGAGCUAGGCAGCCAGUAGUGAGUAACAGAACGGAGCUGACGAAACUCAGAAUGAACCGGGUACCAACCAGAAUGAAUAUAGUUGUCGACUUGUCCGUUAGUUGUGAUGUGACUUGGCCCUUUUAAAGAUGCUUGCUAUGCGAGUGAUAGUCUUCAGCCCUCUAUUAAGUCGGGGGAGAGUUGCUAUAGUUGAAUGAGUUGUCGAUGUAGUCCUGUUUUCGGGAGAUAGAGAAGAUACUUUGCCCGGAAAGGAGGGUAGUAAGGCUGGCUGUUGCAAGACUAGAGGUCGGGUCGGGCACUUAUGAGAGGCCCUUAUUGUAAGUUGUUCCUAUUGCCUAUCAAACAUGCCCAUAAAACACAUGCCCGAGCCUUGUUUCUAUUGAUAGGAAAACAGAAGGAGGGGCUUGCCGCGUAACUUACAUAGUUCCUUGGCCGGUAUUCCACUUGGGAUGAAGACUAGAUAACUCGCGAACAGGGGCAGGCUUGAAGCACCUUACUUUCUUGCUUGUUCGGAUGGGACCUUACUUUCUUGCUUGUUAGGAUGGGUAUGAUAGUCGCCUGCUGCUUGGCAGUUGUUAUUCUGACAGUUUCGUUUGAUGCCUUGGCCCUUAGUGCCUUGGCUAGUUGUCUGCUCGUCUCUUCCUUUCGGGAUUCUAUUUCCAUUAACAUCUACUAUCCCAAUAAGAAGAAAAGAGAGUACUGGCUAGGUAGAAUCAACAGAAGAUUUGUGGUUGCUUGCCCUUACUUAUUAAGUCGGAAGAAACAGACUCAUUAGCCAGAGGGUUAUCGGUUAGUAUUGACUGGCAAGCUCGGUCCUCUUAGCAAGACUCAGUGUUAACGUGAGCAGCUUGAUUUCAUUCUUCUUCACUUGUGAAGGGCUUGAUUUCAUUCUUCUUCACUUGAAGGGAUAGUUCGGGUCGGGUGUGUGGGUGCGGUUGAGAGGAUUCCUCCCUUACUUGGACUUGGCACAUAAUAAAGAAGAAUUAGUAUACUGAAUAGAAUCAGUAAUAGGGCCAUAAUAAAUAAUUGCCAGCGGAUUCUAUGAAUAAGUAUAUGCAUAGUUAUAAGGCCAUAAUACAUAGGCUAGUGAGGAAGCAAUGCCAAAGUAAGCAGCAAUAGAAAGGAAGCACUCAGCAAUAGAGAGGAAGUAAGCAGCAAUACGUUCUUCAGGACCAAAAGCGGGAGAAGAAGCAUCAGAGGGUUGUCUUAGAACGGUUCGAGACCAUGCUUUGAGUAGAGUUUAUAGGAUGGAGCUAGAGCUAGGGAUGAUAGAAACAAGUAAAUAGCUUUGCUUUCCUGGUACAGUAUCUUUAGGUUCCGAGUGUGAUCCAUUAGUUAGGAAAACCGCCAAGUUACUACUAAACAAGCAACUGUGUCAAAAGAGUCUUUAAGGUCAGAGGGGCAGUGAAUAAGUCUGUAGCGGAAUUGCCAGUGACUCGGGUAGGCAGGUUUACUUAUUCAUUUAGUUGAGAUGCUCUAGUCCAUAGGAGAGAGAAAAGAUCUUCGUUCACCAAAUCACCAAAACCAGAGGUGGAGGAGCAAUCCAAUACCUAGUUCUUAAAGAAGCAAGUCAGCGCGGAAGGCAGAAUACCCCUUUUGCUAAGUAGAAGACCGGUAGUAGCAGAGUGGAAGACCUGCUCGUUAAGUCUCGUGUUGUUGGCAAAGGAAGGGGAAUCCUCCAGAAUUAUUGUUCCCCGCCUAGGUAUAUCAGUGGAAAUGCAAUUCUUGACUAUACUUCUACUAGAUGCAGAGUAGAAGCCCGUUAGUAGUAGCGAGGGUUGUUGCUCUAGCUCACUCCGGGCAAAGAACCAAAGAACAGGAACAGGAAGGUCAAAACCGGAAUACUUAAUGAAAUGAAACUACUACCGCAGGCCAAGAAAAGAAAGUGAGUUGUUGCUUUCAAAAGAAAAGAGCUAGAUUCUCUUCGGCUUCGGCUGUAUAAGAUGAACCAAGUAAAGCUUCCGAUGAAACUAAUUCCCUUAGAGCAAAAAGAAAGAAGGAAUAUAUGAUUUUGGACCUUAACUUGACUAUCUGAUUGCCCUCACUCUACUUGAAACAGUUUAUUCUCUUUGUAACAUUCCUCGACAAUCACCUCUUUCCACUCAUUCACUAAGCGCUACAUAAGGAAUUGAUUCUUUUACUUGGGCGUACGUAGUUGCUUGACGGGUCGGACUACUCUAUUACUAUACUUUGAGGGGCUGUAAACCAUGGCUAUCUGAGUUUCUCAAUUCCUAAACUGGAACUAACUAUUCUUUAGUUCGCUACCGGGUAACUCCAUUCUUAAAGGAAGCAUCACUAGGUUCAGAGUCAAGAACAGGCGAGGUCUAAUUGAACUAAUUUACUUACCACACCUGGGUUUAGUGAUAGGGAAGGCUCUGGAAAAACACUUAUUGAACCGCGCAGAGUAUAGAUAUAGAUUAGAUUACUUCUUUUUAUGAUGACACUCAGUAUUCAACACGAGCACACCCGAACUUGGACAACACCGGCACAGCGGAUUCUCUCUACCCCUCAGCCUCACCUUUUGUUUGUCUCUGCCUCUGCCUUAGCUUCACCUUUAUUUCAUGCUUGGACUAGACCCGAACACAGGACUCAAAAGAAGGAGUGCAAGAAUGAAAACAAUAACUAUCAGGCUUGGACUCCCCGGUUGCAUUCUAUCACUUAGCAGCUCCAUUCUAAACACCCUAGCCUGGCAUCCAAUACUAGCUACCACUGAUUUGAGUCUUAGUACCACUGUUUGAAGUCUGCUCCCACGGGGGCCAACUUCCAUUCUGAUAGGUGUGAGUUUGAUUCUUAGUAAUAGUAGCGGGAGUCUUGCUAGCACUGGUUGAAGGUUGUCCAGCACCGGUUUGAUUCUUUGACUCCUUAGCAGCAGCCUGAGUAUACCCAGCAUCAAGCUUGGAGUUAGUGCUUUCAGGCUUACUGGGGCACUGUUGGAUUCUGAUCGGAUCUAGCUGAAGUCUGUUACUCCUUAGCUCCAUUCUUAGGUUAACCAGCUCCCGAACACAGGAUUAGAUGCACCGGUUGCAGGCUUGGAUGCACCGGCCUCAGUCUUAGCUGCAGUGUUUCAAGCCUGUUUCUCGCUGGGGUAAGUCUGAGAUGCACUAGUUUCGUUCUGCUUGUUAGUGGUUUGGGUCUUUAACUACUGGGGCUCAGUCUCGUUGGCACUGGGUUAAGGCUUAGAGUUAGUUGUUUAAGUCUGCCUAGCUCACCUCUGACACCAGAACAUAUGAGUAGUUAUCAGAGAAGAAGACCGGAUGGCUAGCUACACUCUUAAUCUGUUACUCACUAGUUCGAUUCUUUUACUUAUUGGUUGUAUUCCUUUUCUCAUUGGUUUGCUCCACUCUAGUAGUAGUGCAUUCUUGUUAACGGUAGGCUUUCAGCACCUUAUCAUAAGAACAAGUAGUAGAGGCACCAUCCCAAGUCUUAUUAACGGGUAGUUAAGCCAAUAUUUCUAGUUUCGCCUUCCUGUAGGAGUUUGCUUGCCCAUGGGUUAUUCUUUUUAUCGGUUGCUAGGAUACUGGUCUCCACUACAAGACCUAUAAGAACGGCUAUAUAGGCCCAAUAGUUUAAAUACAGAAUUCAGUGAAAGGUUAUAAGAAAGAAAAGUCUUAGUAUAAGUUGAAGAACGAAAGUGAGGGAUAUCAGCUUUGAAGCAAGGGGACAAAGGCGUAGUAAGUAAAGCAAGGUUCGGGGGCUGUAGUGACAGGCUAGGUUCCGAGCUAAGGAAUUAGAAGCUGCAUUGCAUUGGUGAAAGUCUGAGAAGCACUAUUUGCACUCAAAGUUUCUUAUUCAAUUGUGAAAAGGUGGGCUAGAUCUUACCCGAAGUUAUAUAGAAUGCUAUAAGGUAUAGUCAGAAUGAGGUAUAGGAUAGUCAGAAUGAGAUACUUCCAGGCGAGAGCGUAUAGUAGUACUCGGUUGCCAAAGCAAAGGUAUUAGGGGUUUUUUCAUGAUCUUAAGCUGUAGAAAGUAUAGUAAGUCAGUUUCAAGUGCAAAAUCUAUUAGUAACGUUAGAGUGCAUUUGCUACUUAUAUCCUUAUUGGUAAAGGAAGAGACAAGUACUACCUUAUCUGCUAACAAGUCUAUAUAGUAAGGAACAGGGAAUGGUACUACGGACUUCAAAGAAGAAACAAGAGAAAUAGAACCAAACUAUUUACAAUGAACCUGCCUUGCCUUUGACUUUAAUGCAGAGUUGAACUAACAACAAGGUGCUUCAAGCCUACCAAGAAAAAGAAUCCAAAUGAAAACUAUAGUAUAGGCCUCUGUCCCACUGGGGACCUACAUCGGACUACCUUAAACCUUAUAGAAAGUAUUUAUCUACAGCCUAUGAGGCUCCUGCUCCCUUCCUGAACUUUCAAUACCCUGCCUUUCCGUCUUUGUUUCACCAGUGAGCCCUUCCACUACUAGCUUUUAGCCUUACUUGUGUUUGCCUCAACCUGAUUAUCCUGGCUAUCGUCCUUACUACCGUGAGUUUCAGUAUGCCUUUACUUCCUUAUAGGCUUACUUGCCCUCUCAGCAAGCUACCUAGAACUUACAUUAUUAAUAACCUGUCGAUCAGCCCCCAAGACCUAAAACACAGGCAAGUAACAACUAGACAAGCAACGGGACAAGCAAGCGGUAGCGAGUUCAAAGCAAAAGUGAGUUCCUCGUUGCGCGGCAGGAACCCCGGUAUUAUCUGCAGUGAAGCGAGUCUUAUCUCUUAGUUUCAGUUUGAUUAGUAUUAGUUCAAUCCCUGUUCAAUGGAGAAGUGGACUAGGUUUGCGCCGGGCAGUACCAUACUACUAACGUUCAAUGCAAACUACUUAAUUGAAUAAAGAAAAGAGAGAAUGUCAAAUAAUAAUAAUAAGAAUGAUGUUUACUGAACACCAGAACAAGAGCUCUUUGAUAGAGAAAAUAAACUACCUUUUUGAGACCAUGUUUCGCUAAUCAAAUACUCUCCCAUCCUUUAUAGGAAAACGAACUACUUAAUGGAAUCUAAUAAGAAAGUAGAUAAGUCAGAAUACCGGCUAGGGUGCAAAGAACGAUAUAAAGGAAAUCCAAAAUACAGCAAUUAGUAGAAGGCUAACAAGUGAACAUAGGAAUUCUUAUCGUGUGAGGGGCGGGCCUAAAUCUAAACAUAGGCAUUAAGGACAUAAGCUUAUAGAGUAGAAAGUAAGCCCCAGAGGCUGUAAAGACAGAAUUAGAUAAAGAAGAGUUAGCUUAGGUGGGGCAGUG